rnacentral:lncRNA from 1 species
UUUACUUUUCUAGAAAUGUAGAGAUAAUAACAAUUUUAUAAAAGCCAUAGUUUUUGGUGCACAGCGAAGCGUUAUUUAUUGUAUCUAGUCCUCAUUUUCAUAUAAGAAUUCAGCGUUCAGUUUAAAAUGAAAACUGGGACUAUACUGUGCAAUAAAAUGACACAAAUAAUUUAAGUUUUCAAAAUGAUAAUGAUUGACCAUGUUACCAUGUAUGCAAAAGCUGAAGUGAAGCAUUUUAAAAACAGUUAAAAAUGAAGAACUGUUGCAUUUAGCAAAUGAGAAACCAGACCUUGUAAUCAUUUCCAUACAUAAAUAAAGGACGAUUUUCCCCAAUCUAUAGAUUGUUCUGAGUAACAGUUAACCAAUCUGUUAGUGAUGCAAACUGAGGACCGUAGCCAUUGUAUCGUGUGUUUUAUUUUAGCGUUGUACGGAAAGAUUGCAAGAGAAGGACAACACGCAGAAUUUUUGCUCAUUGGAAAAAUACCGAUUCGAUUAGUUUCCACGGCAGGAGAAAACAUGCUGUGUGCUACAGCUCAGGAUCACAGCCUUGAAGCAUCGUCAAGAAAGGGAGCCUCUGGUGAAUUCGGCAGUAGAUUCCAAACAGACACUUCACAGCCCACCUGAGGUUGAGAAUCUUUCCCAGAUGUGAGUUGCUGAGAGACCAGAAAGCCUCAGUUUCCAGUCCUUGAUCCACCAGGAAGCAAUGAAAUGAACACACACACACCGGCCCACACUACUUCUCCUCUGGUGACCCCCAAUAUAAAAUUGUGUCUGUUUUAAAAUCCUAAAAUGAAACUUUUCCUAUUUAUUAAUUUGGAAGCUGCCUGCAGCAGCGAGACCACACUGGGACCAGAGUGUUGGAAAUAUCUUCUCACAUCCAUGGAAUGCUGUUGGUUGUCCCCCUCCUGCGCCCAUAAUUUACCACUGAUGCUUUAUGGAUUUACUGUUGGGCAAAUGAUGUUCAUUUAGUGACCUGAGAAAGCAGUAUGGGAAAAUAUUGGACACGCGAUAAAUAUAGAUUGGUAGGGCCACCUGGUGGUCAUUGUGGCUAAUAACAAAUAUGUUAGUUUGCCUCCACUUCCUCAUGGUUAGACAUCUACUAUAUUUAUUUACACACACACACCAUCUAGUGAACAAGGCUGCUACUCUGCACAGCUUAUAAUCUCAUGAUGUAGGUAAAGGUAAAGGUUCCCCUUGACAAUUUUUGUCCAGUCGUGUUCGACUCUAGGGGGCGGUGCUCAUCCCUGUUUCCAAGCCAUAGAGCCAGCGUUUUUGUCCGA